CGACGGUCAUCACCAACUUGUCCUCCGUGCUGAAGGACGAGAGCGCCUGGGAGAAGCCGCACGAGUUUUACCCCGAGCACUUCCUGGACGAGGCCGGGCACUUUGUGAAGCGAGAAGCCUUCAUGCCUUUCUCAGCAGGGCGGCGUGUCUGUCUGGGGGAACAGCUGGCCAGGAUGGAGCUCUUCAUUUUCUUCACCACUCUCCUGCAGAAAUUCACCUUUGUACUGCCAGAGAAUCAGCCCAAGCCACGAGAAGACUAUUACUUUGCGCUCAUAUCCUUCCCCUACCCUUAUCAAAUUCGAGCUCUCCCAAGAUAAGUGUAAAGUGCUCUCCUUACACCCAGAGAGCUGCAGUUGGGCUGGACUUUGUCCCAGCUCAUGACAGACUAUCACUGCUGAAACACACUGGAAAGCAUCCAUUAAAAAAUGACUAUCGUUUCAGCCACAGAAGCAGGGAAUGUGUGAAACAAUAUUGCAUUUUCUACUAAUGUUUUUAAAGAGAAACCCUGCUGUUUACAUUUAUCACUUCCUAUGUAAUUAGUUCCUGAAACCU